CACUGGGAGGACUGAAGGACAGCGGUGGGCUUGUUCUUUGACUCCAUGUUGUGUUUAGGAUUUGGCCAGCAGCAAAGCGACACGAUGAUGGGGACUGAGCUGUUUUCUUCGGAGACCCUCUCUCUGCCCCGUUACAAGACCGGCAAAGAUGAGCUCGCCUUGCAUCCCGGGCACACCAAGGUCAUCGAAAGGAUGUCGAGGAGGAGUAAACAAUGGAAGUGGUGGCGUUGUUAAUGGUUAAGUAGCAAAACAACUAGGAGCGGUAAGUUAGUUGUUGUUGUACUACCUGACACGUACGAGGUAG